rnacentral:rRNA from 1 species
UACGAAGGGGGCUAGCGUUGCUCGGAAUCACUGGGCGUAAAGGGUGCGUAGGCGGGUUUUUAAGUCAGAGGUGAAAUCCUGGAGCUCAACUCCAGAACUGCCUUUGAUACUGAAAGUCUUGAGUAUGGGAGAGGUGAGUGGAACUGCGAGUGUAGAGGUGAAAUUCGUAGAUAUUCGCAAGAACACCAGUGGCGAAGGCGGCUCACUGGCCCAUUACUGACGCUGAGACGCGAAAGCGUGGGGAGCGAACAGG